rfam:Oryza sativa (indica cultivar-group) chromosome 10, whole genome shotgun sequence.
UAUAAGUGCAACCAUAAGUUUCCACGCCCAACUUUGAUCGUUCGUCUUAUUUGAAAGUUUUUUAUAAUUAAUAUUUUUAUUGUUAUGAGAUGAUAAAAUAUAAAUAGUACUUUACUCGUGACUUAAGUUUUUAAAUUUUUUCAAAAAUUUUUCAAAUAAGACGGACGGUCAAAGUUGGGCGCGGAAAACCAUGGCUGCACUUAUA